CUUGUGCAGAGUCCAGACUUUGCUCUGCAGACUCUGAGAUGGAAGUCGUGGUCUUUCUGAAGGAAAGAAUGAAGAGGACUGUGUGUGUGUGUGUGUGUGUGUGUGUGUGUGUGAGUGAGUGUGAGUGUGAGUGAGUGUGAGGGUGACGGUGAGUGUGUGUGAGGGUGAGGGUGAGGGUGAGGGCGUGGGUGUGUGUGUGAGACCAGCUCCACUGUCAGACACGGUGCCAAGUCCAUCAUCCCUGUGUGAUCUGACAGAGGAUCAUCAGUGUAUCUGGACUGCUCUGCUGCUGCUCCACCUUCCUCCACUUCCUCCACCCUCCACCUUCCUCCACCUCUUCCACCUCCUCCACCCUCCUCCACCUCCUCCACCUCUUCCACCUCCUCCACCUGGGCUUUAUUGUAUCUUUUUUCUACAUUCAGAUAUGAACUAUAAUUCUGUGUAUAACAACAUAACUGUAGAUUUGAAGUUCAUUAUCCAUUAUCAAAAUCUGGAUCAGUAGCUCUUCAUCAUGCAAUCAUCACAAUCAUCACUGUUUUAUGAUUAAUCCUGAUAAUGAGCAGGUUUUAUUAAUGGACCUCCUGCAGUGUUAACAUGUAGUUACCUCUCACUACAUUAAUGCAGUUUGUGAUAUAUUGUGUUUAAGUUUCCAUGUAUUAUUUUCCACUGGUCUGUGUUUCAGUGUAUAUAACCACACACAGAUGUUAGAGGAUUUAUAUUACAAUCUUAUUCUGCUUCAUGCGUUAAAAACAAAAAGAAACAGAGUGAAACAUAUUUACACAGUGAAAUCAGUUCUCUGCCUCCCACUGCAGCUCAGCACCAGCUUCAGCCCACAGAUGGUGCUGUAGUAUAACAUAUCAGACUGGGAGUCAGGAAGCAGGACAUCCCAGUGACAAAUGGUUGGCUCCCUGUGUGCCAGUAAACUGCUCUCUGAGCCUGUGAACAGAAACAUCUGAAUUUCUGAGUCUUUUCUAAGAAACGUCUCAUUGUUUCUACGUCUCAUUUAUUUUUCUGCUUCAGUGCAGCCACAGAGCAUCCAAACACCUAAAAACACGAGUGAUUAAAGCCUAAAAUGAAAAGACGAGCAGCUCCUCUGAAUAUGCAAAAAAAAAAAAACUUAAAAAACUUUCAGCAGCAUCUUAUAUAACCAGCAUUUAUACUCCUCA